AUACUGUUCUGCUGAAAAAAAAAAAAAAAGAAUUUAUCAUAGUUCAGUUAGUCACUAUGAAGAAGCAUCAGAGGGCUUUUGGGGCUUAGUGCAGUUUUUCUUAAUCUGAUACUGACUACAGUUAAGUACAUGUUAAGUGCAUGACUAUUUCACUGAGUUGUAGAUCUAGGAUUUGUGCACUUAGAUAAAAGUCCCCUAAAUAACAAUAACAAGAAAAAAAAUCUACUAUAGUACCCAAAUAUAUUAAUUAACCAAAUAAGGAGAGAGAAGAAACAAUUGUAACAAUGUAACAACUAAACAGUACAGAUAUUGUACCUUAACCAAUACAGAUAAGACAGUUGAUAAUACUCAAUAUUCAUUUGUGAUUAAAAAAUACUUCCAAAUUUAGUGUAGAAAUUCUAUAUUCAAAUAAAACGUAUAUACAUAAAAUCUACAGUAAACAUCCUACUGAAUCAGAAAUAUUUAGCUCACUCACUUUUUUUGAGAUCAAAAAUGAGAAAUGAUCAUUUAUUUUCACUGCUUUCAUUCAAUAUUGCAUUGAAGGUCUUAGUCAAUAAACAAGACAAAACGAUUGAAUAGCAUGAGAAAUGAAAAUAAAGAAAUACAGCUUUAAUAAUUUACAGAUGACACAAUUGUCUAUGUGCCGUAUCAAGAGUCUACAGAUAAGUUAGAUUUCAUAAGUAAAUUCAUCAACGUACUUGGAAUCAAGAUCAAUAUACUAAAAUCAGUAUGUAACUGCAAUACAAAAAAUCAGUUGUAUUAUAUAAAAUAGAAGCAGUUAUAAAAAGUAAAACAUAACGGAAUAAAGUUAAAAGUCAUUAACUAAGAAUCUAAAAAUAUAUGUAAGGAAUCUUUAUUUC